rnacentral:rRNA from 1 species
ACGAACGCUGGCGGCGUGCCUAAUACCUGCAAGUAGAACGCUGAAGGAGGAGCUUGCUUCUCUGGAUGAGUUGCGAACGGGUGAGUAACGCGUAGGUAACCUGCCUGGUAGCGGGGGAUAACUAUUGGAAACGAUAGCUAAUACCGCAUAACAGUAGAUAUCGCAUGAUAUCUACUUGAAAGGUGCAAUUGCAUCACUACCAGAUGGACCUGCGUUGUAUUAGCUAGUUGGUGAGGUAACGGCUCACCAAGGCGACGAUACAUAGCCGACCUGAGAGGGUGAUCGGCCACACUGGGACUGAGACACGGCCCAGACUCCUACGGGAGGCAGCAGUAGGGAAUCUUCGGCAAUGGACGGAAGUCUGACCGAGCAACGCCGCGUGAGUGAAGAAGGUUUUCGGAUCGUAAAGCUCUGUUGUAAGAGAAGAACGAGUGUGAGAGUGGAAAGUUCACACUGUGACGGUAUCUUACCAGAAAGGGACGGCUAACUACGUG